GGGAAAUGAUGAGUGGUACAGGCUUGCUUGAUUUUGCGAGAGGGGUGCCUGCCCCAAUUAGCCUGUUACGACACUCGGGCAUCCCUCUGAUUUACCAUCUGAUCCU
rfam:Triticum aestivum genome assembly, contig: Triticum_aestivum_CS42_TGACv1_scaffold_624234_7DS